rnacentral:rRNA from 1 species
CCUACGGGGGGCAGCAGUGGGGAAUAUUGGACAAUGGGGGGAACCCUGAUCCAGCCAUGCCGCGUGUGUGAAGAAGGCCCUCGGGUUGUAAAGCACUUUCAGUGAGGAAGAACGCCUGGUGGUUAAUACCCAUCAGGAAAGACAUCACUCACAGAAGAAGCACCGGCUAACUCCGUGCCAGCAGCCGCGGUAAUACGGAGGGUGCGAGCGUUAAUCGGAAUUACUGGGCGUAAAGCGCGCGUAGGUGGCUUGAUAAGCCGGUUGUGAAAGCCCCGGGCUCAACCUGGGAACGGCAUCCGGAACUGUCAAGCUAGAGUGCAGGAGAGGAAGGUAGAAUUCCCGGUGUAGCGGUGAAAUGCGUAGACAUCGGGAGGAAUACCAGUGGCGAAGGCGGCCUUCUGGCCUGACACUGACACUGAGGUGCGAAAGCGUGGGUAGCAAACAGGAUUAGAUACCCUAGUAGUC